UAGUCGUCCGGUCGCUCUCCAUGUACUGGGCGUCGCGCUCGACUUACCAAGCUGCGAUAUGGCGUCCGACUUCCGUAGUUAGGCGUCGCCUAGGCGGUAAAAGGCGAAUUUGGACGCCUCACGGGUAGAAGACGAUGCCAUAUCGCAGCGCGGGAGGAGCGCGUGGGAAAGCGUGACCCGCGCGGGGGAAGGGCGCGGCGUACAUGACCCGCGCAAAAAAAAAACGUGAGCUGAGAUUCAGAUAGGGCCAUAGAGGAUAGGGCGGCGGCGCACCUGAAGCUUGGCGGCGGCGGAGCACCUGAAGGUUGGCGGCGGCGCGGCGCACCUGACCAGCAGCAGCUUCCAGCCUUCCACCAAGGAGCCCAGGAGGCAGGAGCCGAGGACCAGGACCAAGGCGCCAAGCCACAGCGCAGGAGGCAAGAGCCCAGGAGGCAGGAGCCCAGGACUAGGACCAAGGCGCCAAGCGCCCAAGCCACAGGUCCAGGACUCCAGGUUGUAAAGCAGGUUGCCGAAGGUUGCACAUCACCCAACUAAGAGGUUCCCUCCCAUUCUCUUUAUGUCU